GACGAACGCUGGCGGAGUGCUUAACACAUGCAAGUCGAACGGAGUGGCGAACGGGUGAGUAACACGUGGGUGAUCUGCCUUGCACUUCGGGAUAAGCUUGGGAAACUGGGUCUUAUUCCGGAUAGUGCAAGAUGAGCUCGCGGCCUAUCAGCUUGUUGGUGGGGUAAGGGCCUACCUCGGCGUCGACGUGUAGCCGGCCUGAGAGGGUGUACGGCCACCUUGGGACUGAGAUACGGCCCAGACUCCUACGGGUGGGAGAAGUGGGGAAUAUUGCACAAUGGGCGGAGGCCUGAUGCAGCGACGCAGCGUGGGGGAUGAGGGCCUUCGGGUUGUAAACUCCUUUCGACAGGGACGCGGUACCUGUAUAAGAAGCACAGGCAAAGAAGGUGCCAGCAGCCGCGUAAUAC
rnacentral:rRNA from 1 species